UGAGUAAUGCUUGGGAAUCUGCCCAAUAGUGGGGGACAACUCGGGGAAACCCGGGCUAAUACCGCAUAAUCUCUACGGAGGAAAGAGGGCCUCUACUUGUAAGCUCUCGCUAAUGGAUGAGCCCAAGUCAGAUUAGCUAGUUGGUAGGGUAAUGGCUUACCAAGGCUACGAUCUGUAGCUGGUCUGAGAGGAUGAUCAGCCACACUGGGACUGAGACACGGCCCAGACUCCUACGGGAGGCAGCAGUGGGGAAUAUUGCACAAUGGGCGCAAGCCUGAUGCAGCAAUGCCGCGUGUGUGAAGAAGGCUCUAGGGUUGUAAAGCACUUUCAAUAGAGAAGAAAAGCUUGAAGUUAAUACCUUCAAGCCUUGACGUAACCUAUACAAGAAGCACCGGCUAAUUCCGUGCCAGCAGCCGCGGUAAUACGGGAGGUGCGAGCGUUAAUCGGAAUUACUGGGCGUAAAGCGAGCGUAGGCUGUUAAAUAAGUCAAAUGUGAAAUCCCCGGGCUUAACCUGGGAACUGCACUCGAAACUAUUUAACUAGAGUAUGG
rnacentral:rRNA from 1 species